AGGAGGAACAACCACACUGGCGGCAGCCAGCUCUCCAGCUCUGGAGUCAGCUCACACAGUAAUUGCGGCAGCUCCCAAUCCGCACUGGCUUGGAUGCUCCGGGGCAGU
rnacentral:pre_miRNA from 1 species